GGGACCGUAGUCUAGUGGCAUGAUACAUGCUUAGGGUUGAAAUUCCUAACUUGCAUGUGGUCCCGGGUUCGAUUCCCGGUGGUCCCC
rfam:Gonapodya prolifera JEL478 unplaced genomic scaffold M427scaffold_74, whole genome shotgun sequence.